CAAAGUGGAUGAAUAAAAACUCUCAUUUUUUUCUCUAUCUCUCAUCUUCUUCAACAUACUCCAUAACCAAUUUCUUCAUUCUUUUCAUUGUUUUGUGAUCAAGCCUGUAAAACUGUGAAACUGCUUAUGUGCUCAUAGGUGCGCCCUGAGUCUGUGCAGUGUGUGUGUGAUCUUGCAAGCUUGUGAGUGUUCUAGUGUGUGUGUGUGCA
rnacentral:lncRNA from 1 species